UGGACUUCAGUGAUGCUUUGGCAAAUAUAGAGAGGGGAACGCUUUGUAUUCUUCUCAGCAUUUUAUGAAAUGGUUAUUUUUAGCACUUGGGUUCAGAACUAAUUUUCCAGGAAUUUCUUGGCUUUCAGCCUCUCUGAAAAAUAAUCAGGAAAACAUUCAGAAAGACUGAGAGAAGGCAACAGGAGGGGGGACAGUUUUGAGCAGUUGCCGAUGUCCCAUGUUGACUGUUUUUUUCACCCUCAGAAUCAGGAAGCAAAACAGACAGAAGGCAGCGAAUACAGUGCAAAACAAAGUAUGUAAAUACAAAUCAGCUAUUAAUAGUGGCAGUGACCCAGGGGCAAGCACUAGCUGGAGAAUUGAGGCUCUCAGGCUUCCAGAUGAGAUUUAAAAUCAAAAUGAAAAUUAAAAAUCUGUCCUGCAUCUCAUUGAAACGGAGGUGCAGUCUUCACCAGCUGGCCCUGCCCUGGAGUUAUUUGCAGCUAUUCACUCAACUCAUCUGUACUUCAAAAAGGAGCUGCAGCCUACAGCAGAAGGCUCAUUAUCUCUCACUGGUGAUGAAGUCAUGAGCUACACAAAAAUUUCUCUACUGUUCAAGAAUGCAUUAAAUGUUCCCGAUAUACAUUCCAGCAAUUGAAUGAGUUUUUGCGUGUGUGUAUAAAAAUGUUAACUUAUAAAUGAAUUUUUAUCCCUUUUAUGAUUCUUUAUGCCAUAGUAAGUUAACACCAUAAGCGCUGGGUUAUGAGACUUUGUAGAGUUUGGGUUCUUUUUUUCCUGUUCAGCCCAAAGAAAUCACAGGCUGCUUGAUGCUAACUUUGAGUCUUGGGCUGGGUGAACUCAGGGACUAUCAGUUCUUCAAUUCAUGCGAGCUUCUCACAAGCUGAAUGUAAAAGAGACAACUGAAGUUGACAACAAGCUGCAAGAUAAAAAGGGACAGUAGACUCCAGCUGUAGAAAAUCCCCUGAGCUGGGCUUGGCCUCCUCUACUUGUAGCCUACUACUCCUAUUCAUUCAGCUCCUCUGUGUGAGAACAGCAGCCUGCCAACGUGGCACUCCUUGCUCCCUUGGAAGACCAAAUUGUACCAAAAACUGCAGUCAGCUUUUUCUGCAUGAAGCGUCCCUGAAGAAGUCAGAAACCUCUCUACCAGAAGACUUUUCCUCUGUCCAGAUCUGAUUCUCUCUUAGUUCAGGUUUCAUCCACCCAGACUGGGGUGAUAUCCUAGUGAAAAUAAGACAGCGUGUACUUCAGAAGUAAAACUCCUUCUUCAGACUUGAUUGUGUCUCGGAGCUUUGUGUGACUCCCACAAACACCUGAAGUCAGCUCUCUUCUGUCCAAUAACAGAUAAAAGUAGAGCAGAUUUUUUUUCCCUGGCUCUAUUGAAACCUCAGUUUUUUUCAGAAAGCGGAGUGUAAAUCGAUGAGCCUUCUCCCUGUAAUUAUCACUGAUAGCUGUAUGUGGCAAUUUGCAGAGCAGAAAGCAGAUUCUCUCCUUCCUGUAGCUUGAUCCCCUUUCUUCCUGCGCACUCCUGCCUGCAGGAGAUUCAGAGGGCAGCAAGGCUGAGAAAACUGU
ensembl:lncRNA